GGCCCAAAGUUGAAGUAGAACAGAUUGGCAGGAUCAGCUGACUAUACUAACAUUCUACUUCAAUUUUGUGCCC
rnacentral:pre_miRNA from 1 species